rnacentral:rRNA from 1 species
AUUGAACGCUGGCGGCAGGCCUAACACAUGCAAGUCGAGCGGAUGAAGGGAGCUUGCUCCUGGAUUCAGCGGCGGACGGGUGAGUAAUGCCUAGGAAUCUGCCUGGUAGUGGGGGAUAACGUCCGGAAACGGGCGCUAAUACCGCAUACGUCCUGAGGGAGAAAGUGGGGGAUCUUCGGACCUCACGCUAUCAGAUGAGCCUAGGUCGGAUUAGCUAGUUGGUGGGGUAAAGGCCUACCAAGGCGACGAUCCGUAACUGGUCUGAGAGGAUGAUCAGUCACAUGGGAACUGAGACAGGGUCCAGACUCCUACGGGAGGCAGCAGUGGGGAAUAUUGGACAAUGGGCGAAAGCCUGAUCCAGCCAUGCCGCGUGUGUGAAGAAGGUCUUCGGAUUGUAAAGCACUUUAAGUUGGGAGGAAGGGCAGUAAGUUAAUACCUUGCUGUUUUGACGUUACCAACAGAAUAAGCACCGGCUAACUUCGUG